AGAGUUUGAUCCUGGCUCAGAUUGAACGCUGGCGGCAUGCCUUACACAUGCAAGUCGAACGGCAGCACGGAGCUUGCUCUGGUGGCGAGUGGCGAACGGGUGAGUAAUAUAUCGGAACGUACCCUAGAGUGGGGGAUAACGUAGCGAAAGUUACGCUAAUACCGCAUACGAUCUAAGGAUGAAAGUGGGGGAUCGCAAGACCUCAUGCUCGUGGAGCGGCCGAUAUCUGAUUAGCUAGUUGGUAGGGUAAAAGCCUACCAAGGCAUCGAUCAGUAGCUGGUCUGAGAGGACGACCAGCCACACUGGAACUGAGACACGGUCCAGACUCCUACGGGAGGCAGCAGUGGGGAAUUUUGGACAAUGGGCGAAAGCCUGAUCCAGCAAUGCCGCGUGAGUGAAGAAGGCCUUCGGGUUGUAAAGCUCUUUUGUCAGGGAAGAAACGGUGAGAGCUAAUAUCUCUUGCUAAUGACGGUACCUGAAGAAUAAGCACCGGCUAACUACGUGCCAGCAGCCGCGGUAAUACGUAGGGUGCAAGCGUUAAUCGGAAUUACUGGGCGUAAAGCGUGCGCAGGCGGUUUUGUAAGUCUGAUGUGAAAUCCCCGGGCUCAACCUGGGAAUUGCAUUGGAGACUGCAAGGCUAGAAUCUGGCAGAGGGGGGUAGAAUUCCACGUGUAGCAGUGAAAUGCGUAGAUAUGUGGAGGAACACCGAUGGCGAAGGCAGCCCCCUGGGUCAAGAUUGACGCUCAUGCACGAAAGCGUGGGGAGCAAACAGGGAUUAGAUAC
rnacentral:rRNA from 1 species